rnacentral:rRNA from 1 species
AUUGAACGCUGGCGGCAGGCCUAACACAUGCAAGUCGAGCGGAUGAAGGGAGCUUGCUCCUGGAUUCAGCGGCGGACGGGUGAGUAAUGCCUAGGAAUCUGCCUUGUAGUGGGGGAUAACGUCCGGAAACGGGCGCUAAUACCGCAUACGUCCUGAGGGAGAAAGUGGGGGAUCUUCGGACCGCACGCUAUCAGAUGAGCCUAGGUCGGAUUAGCUAGUUGGUGGGGUAACGGCCUACCAAGGCGACUAUCCGUAACUGGUCUGAGAGGAUGAUCCGUCAGCCUGGAACUGAGACACGGUCGCGACUCCUGCGGGAGGCAGCAGUGGGGAAUCUUGGGCAAGGGGGGAAAGCCUGAUCCAGCCAUGCCGCGUGUGUGAAGAAGGUCUUCUGAUUGUAAAGCGCUUUAAGUUGGGAGGAAGGGCAGUAAGUUAAUACCUUGCUGUUUUGACGUUACCAACAGAAUAAGCACCGGCUAACUUCGUG